CUCAGGAUGAACGCUAGCGGCAGGCUUAACACAUGCAAGUCGAGGGGUAGAGGAAGCUUGCUUCCUUGAGACCGGCGCACGGGUGCGUAACGCGUAUGCAACUACCUUUUACAGAGGGAUAGCCCAGAGAAAUUUGGAUUAAUACCUCAUGGUAUAUAUCAUUCGCAUGUUUGAUAUAUUAAAGUUCCAACGGUAAAAGAUGGGCAUGCGUCCUAUUAGCUAGAUGGUAAGGUAACGGCUUACCAUAGCAACGAUAGGUAGGGGUCCUGAGAGGGAGAUCCCCCACACUGGUACUGAGACACGGACCAGACUCCUACGGGAGGCAGCAGUGAGGAAUAUUGGUCAAUGGGCGCAAGCCUGAACCAGCCAUGCCGCGUGCAGGAUGACGGUCCUAUGGAUUGUAAACUGCUUUUGUACAGGAAGAAACACUCCCUCGUGAGGGAGCUUGACGGUACUGUAAGAAUAAGGAUCGGCUAACUCCGUG
rnacentral:rRNA from 1 species